CAGCACCUCAAGUGGUCAGGAGGAUUAUUGGGCCUAAAGCAUCCGUAGCCGGCGCUGUAAGUUUUCGGUUAAAUCUGUACGCUCAACGUACAGGCUGCCGGGAAUACUGCAGCGCUAGGGAGUGGGAGAGGUAGACGGUACUCGGUAGGAAGGGGUAAAAUCCUUUGAUCUAUUGAUGACAACCUGUGGCGAAGGCGGUCUACCAGAACACGUCCGACGGUGAGGGAUGAAAGCUGGGGGAGCGAACCGGAUUAGAUACCCGAGUAGUCC
rnacentral:rRNA from 1 species